rnacentral:rRNA from 1 species
GAUGAACGCUGGCGGCGUGCCUAAUACAUGCAAGUCGAGCGAACGGACGAGAAGCUUGCUUUUCUGAUGUUAGCGGCGGACGGGUGAGUAACACGUGGAUAACCUACCUAUAAGACUGGGAUAACUUCGGGAAACCGGAGCUAAUACCGGAUAAUAUUUUGAACCGCAUGGUUCAAAAGUGAAAGACGGUCUUGCUGUCACUUAUAGAUGGAUCCGAGCUGCAUUAGCUAGUUGGUAAGGUAACGGCUUACCAAGGCAACGAUGCAUAGCCGACCUGAGAGGGUGAUCGGCCACACUGGAACUGAGACACGGUCCAGACUCCUACGGGAGGCAGCAGUAGGGAAUCUUCCGCAAUGGGCGAAAGCCUGACGGAGCAACGCCGCGUGAGUGAUGAAGGUCUUCGGAUCGUAAAACUCUGUUAUUAGGGAAGAACAUAUGUGUAAGUAACUGUGCACAUCUUGACGGAACCUAAUCAGAAAGCCACGGCUAACUACGUG